ensembl:lncRNA
GUAGAUUAGUUUGAGUUGUGUUUAGCUGAGCUGUGUCAUUUUGUGGAGGAGCAGCAAGACUUUCAGUGUGACUCUCAGGAGAAAGCCUCACACAUGUCUGUUGUCUUAAUAGUGGAAUUAUCUGGAAAAUGAACCAGUUCUUAUAAGCUGCUUUUCAAUAUGAGCAGUCAAAGCAUUUAUACAGCGUGCUUCAUUCACACAAGCACUUCUUUUUCUAACAAUGACACUAUGAUGGAUGCAUCGGAGAGCAAGUCGGGGCUCCAUAUCUUGACCAAGGAUACCGUGGCGUGCAGACUGGAGCAGCCAGGGAUCAAACCUCCAACCUUCCAUAGCAACCAGGACCAUAAUGAACCCUGACUCCACAAGACACUCAGGAUCCACCUGCCCAGCCUUUCCUUGUAAACCCUGGGGAUGGUUGUUUAGGAAAAUCCCAGUACAACAAUGUACUUACACGAGCCCGUCUGAC